rnacentral:rRNA from 1 species
UACGUAGGGCGCAAGCGUUAUCCGGAAUUAUUGGGCGUAAAGAGCUCGUAGGCGGUUUGUCGCGUCUGCCGUGAAAGUCCGGGGCUCAACUCCGGAUCUGCGGUGGGUACGGGCAGACUAGAGUGAUGUAGGGGAGACUGGAAUUCCUGGUGUAGCGGUGAAAUGCGCAGAUAUCGGGAGGAACACCAGUGGCGAAGGCGGCGAUCUGGACAGAUAUUGACGCUGAUGCGCGAAAGCGUGGGGAGCAAACAGG